rnacentral:rRNA from 1 species
GACGGACCACACGAACGUUAUUCGGAAUUACUGGGCUUAAAGGGUGCGUAGGCGGUGCAGUAAGUUGGGUGUGAAAUCCCUCGGCUUAACCGAGGAAUUGCGCCCAAAACUACUGUGCUUGAGAAAGAUAGAGGUAAGCGGAACUUAGGGUGGAGCGGUGAAAUGCGUAGAUAUACGGAGGAAUACCUGAGGCGAAGGCGGGUUGCUGGGCCAACACUGACGCUGAGGCGCGAAAGCCAGGGGAGCAAACGGG